CAAAAAGGACUGGAGAGAUGGCUCA
rnacentral:piRNA from 1 species